rnacentral:misc_RNA from 1 species
GAUGAAGAACGUAGCGAAAUGCGAUAAGUAAUGUGAAUUGCAGAAUUCCGUGAAUCAUCGAAUCUUUGAACGCACAUUGCGCCCCCUGGUAUUCCGGGGGGCAUGCCUGUCCGAGCGUCAUUGCAACCUUCAAGCGCGGCUUGUGUGUUGGGUCUCGUCCCCCGUGGACGGGCCCGAAAGGCAGUGGCGGCGUCCCGACAUGGUGCCCGAGCGUAUGGGAAUCCUCUUCCGCUCGAAUCGGCCCAUGCGGCGCUGGUCGUAACCAAAUUUUUUACCGGUUGACCUCGGAUCAGGUAGGGAUACCCGCUGAACUUAAGCAUAUCAAUAAGCGAGG